rnacentral:rRNA from 1 species
GAUGAACGCUGGCGGCGUGCCUAAUACAUGCAAGUCGAGCGAACAGAUGAGGAGCUUGCUCCUCUGACGUUAGCGGCGGACGGGUGAGUAACACGUGGAUAACCUACCUAUAAGACUGGGAUAACUUCGGGAAACCGGAGCUAAUACCGGAUAAUAUAUUGAACCGCAUGGUUCAAUAGUGAAAGACGGUUUUGCUGUCACUUAUAGAUGGAUCCGCGCCGCAUUAGCUAGUUGGUAAGGUAACGACUUACCAAGGCAACGAUGCGUAGCCGACCUGAGAGGGUGAUCGGCCACACUGGAACUGAGACACGGUCCAGACUCCUACGGGAGGCAGCAGUAGGGAAUCUUCCGCAAAGGGCGAAAGCCUGACGGAGCAACGCCGCGUGAGUGAUGAAGGUCUUCGGAUCGUAAAACUCUGUUAUUAGGGAAGAACAAAUGUGUAAGUAACUAUGCACGUCUUGACGGUACCUAAUCAGAAAGCCACGGCUAACUACGUG